rnacentral:lncRNA from 1 species
UGACAUGAGUCUUAGAUGGAUGGCAUUUGUAACAUGUUUGAAAUGUUGAUAUUUCUAUGUUAUAAUGUGAUGUUGAACCUUUUUAUCGAGAAAUUUACUUAAAUUCUAUUUAAUAAUUGUGGGAUUAUGAAAUUACAGAUACGCGAUAUUGGGUGGAAAAUAACAUAUCAUAAGAACAAAGUAGAGGUAGAGGAAAGCAAGAACGAAUUGCUCGAAAUGUUGAAGGCCUUGGAAGGAGCACUAGGAGAUAAGCCUUAUUUUGGAGGGGAAAACUUUGGAUAUGUUGAUAUUUCUCUUAUUGGAUACUACAUGAUAUUUUAUACCUAUGAGACCUGUGCGAAUUUCAGUAUAGAGGCUGAGUGCCCCAAGCUAAUUGCAUGGGUAAAGAGGUGCUUGGAGAGGAAGACCGUUUCCAAGUCUCUUGGUGAUCCCAAAAUUGUCUAUGAAAUAGCUGUCGAGUGGAAAAAGAGGCUUGGUUUAGAGUAGUGAGGAAUUGUGUUAUGUUUGCGAAUAAACACGAAUGCAUUUGAAAUAGCGGAGAAUUUUACGUCCUAUAUAAACGACAUAAUGCUCGUUCACAAGAGUGUCUGAAUCGUGUUGCGUUGCGUUGUGUUGUGUAAUGUCUUGUUGACGAUUUUUAAUGUGUUUUUAAUAAAGAAAGCGUCAAGUUGUGUUUGUAUCUUAGGUAGUCCUUUUGUUUUCCUUAAGAGUUUUGAUAAGGUGGGUUAGACAUGCUAAGUUAGUUUUCUAAUUUUUCAGAAAAUUGAAAACGUCACCUUUG